UCCUACAGCCAUACCACCCUCAACAUGCCUGAUCUUGUCUGAUCUCGGAAGCUAAGCAGGGUCGGGCCAGGUUAGUACUUGGAUGGGAGACCAACUAGGAAGACCAGGUGCUGUAGGCU
rnacentral:rRNA from 1 species